rnacentral:lncRNA from 1 species
GGUCAAUGAAAUCAUCAUCAGCGUGCAUAUGUGCAUACAGACGAUCGGACACAUCCUAACAACUAAAACAUUGUGUAUUGAUUCUGGAUCUUCAUUAGUGCACGCUUCGUACAAUAAAAUAUUGUACGGACUUAGAUAGCUGCCAUGUCAUUUAUCUCAAACAUAGAUAAUUAUGAAUAUUAAAUAUUAUAUUUCAGUGG